rnacentral:rRNA from 1 species
CCCUUAGAUGUUCUGGGCCGCACGCGCGCUACACUGACGAAUGCAACGAGCUUAUAACCUUGGCCGAAAGGUCUGGGUAAUCUCCAAAUUUCGUCGUGAUGGGGAUAGAUUAUUGCAAUUAUUAAUCUUCAACGAGGAAUGCCUAGUAAGCGCAAGUCAUCAGCUUGCGUUGAUUACGUCCCUGCCCUUUGUACACACCGCCCGUCGCACCUACCGAUUGAAUGGUCCGGUGAAGCCUCGGGAUUGUGGCGAGUUCCCUUUAUUGGGAGUUUGUCGCGAGAACUUGUCUAAACCUUAUCAUUUAGAGGAAGGUGAAGUCGUAACA